CAUGUAGCCUAAUGGAUAAGGCGUUAGACUUCGAAUCUAAAGAUUGCGGGUUCGACUCCCGUCAUG
rnacentral:ncRNA from 14 species